UCUACGGCCCAUUCCCCCCUAUACAUGCUCGGAUCUGGUCUGAUCUCGGAAGGUAAGCAGGGUCGGGCCCUGGUUAGUACUUGGAUGGGAGGAAGUGAUCCAUCUAAAAUGGAAUUAGAAAAUCCUAUGA
rnacentral:rRNA from 1 species